CAGAGGUUGUGCGCAUGUCGGGGCAUGGCUGCCGGAUGGUCGGGGGCGGCGUCCUGAGGCAGAGGUCUUCUGAGUGCAGUAGAGAAUCCUCCCUCCGUCACUGAGCCCCACAGCUGCCCGAUGCACUUCAGCCCGCAAGAGAGAACCGUCCCUUCCUCAGCGGUAACGCGGCGCUGGCUUGUCUUCUGUCUGCCUAAAAAGGAAUCUUUGACCUUUGCUGUUUAAAACAACGUA